rnacentral:rRNA from 1 species
CCUACGGGAGGCAGCAGUGAGGAAUAUUGGUCAAUGGACGAGAGUCUGAACCAGCCAAGUAGCGUGAAGGAUGACUGCCCUAUGGGUUGUAAACUUCUUUUAUAUGGGAAUAAAACGUUCCACGUGUGGGAUUUUGUAUGUACCAUAUGAAUAAGGAUCGGCUAACUCCGUGCCAGCAGCCGCGGUAAUACGGAGGAUCCGAGCGUUAUCCGGAUUUAUUGGGUUUAAAGGGGGCGUAGGUGGAUUGUUAAGUCAGUUGUGAAAGUUUGCGGCUCAACCGUAAAAUUGCAGUUGAAACUGGCAGUCUUGAGUACAGUAGAGGUGGGCGGAAUUCGUGGUGUAGCGGUGAAAUGCUUAGAUAUCACGAAGAACUCCGAUUGCGAAGGCAGUUCACUGGACUGCAACUGACACUGAGGCUCGAAAGUGUGGGUAUCAAACAGGAUUAGAUACCCCUGUAGUC